GAGCUUGCAGCUGCUCCCGGAGUCUGUGUCACUGACUCCUCCAUGCCACCUCACCUCCCACCCCCAAGGACAGGUAAGGUCAGGCAGCAAGUAGUCCAGGGCACAGGCAGCACCACACUUCCCUCGUAUUGCAUUUAUAUACAUGCAUAUACAUACAUGUGUGCCUGACACUGUGUCUGUAUGGAGGUCAGGGGACAUGUUGCAGGGAUCAGUCCUCUCUUUCCACAGUGUGGGCCUGGGGAUUGAAGUCGGUUUCCAGGUUUGGUAGCAAGAACCUUUAACAGCUGAGCCAUCUCACCUGCCUGCAUACUUUAAACGCUGAAAAUGAAGAGUCGCUUUCUUUUGCGCAUACUCGGGCUGCUGCGGCUCCAGGUCGCUGUCUGCCAAAAGCCCACGCUGAGAUUGAACCUUCCAGAACAAAAUGGCAGCCUGCCCUCCGAUCUGGAGUACAACUCCUCAGUGCACCUGCCUUCAGAACUUGUGUCACCGCUGGAACGUGGCAGGAGCCUCCAUCCUACGUUCUCAUUGCCUAACCUAGCCUUCACAAGGCUGGCUUUGGAGAUUCGCCAGCUGCAAACAUCUUCCCAGGGCAUGCCCACAUUCCCGUGGUGUACCUGUGCCAAGGGACAGGGGAGGCUUUGAAGCAUCUGGCUCCAACUCCCAGAACUCUAUAGGAAUCUUGCCCAAAAUACAGAGAUUACUGUCUCCGC